rnacentral:rRNA from 1 species
GAUGAACGCUAGCGGGAGGCCUAACACAUGCAAGACGAGCGGUAUUGUUUCUUCGGCUAUGAGAGAGCGGCGUACGGGUGCGUAACACGUGUGCAACCUGCCUUUAUCUGGGGGAUAGCCUUUCGAAAGGAAGAUUAAUACUCCAUAAUAUAUUGAAAGGCAUCGUCUAAUAUUGAAAGCCUCGGCGGGUAGAGAUGGGCACGCGCAAGAUUAGCUAGAUGGAGAGGUAACGGCUAACUAAGGCGAUGAAACUUAGGGGGCCUGAGAGGGUGAUCCCCCACACUAAUACUGAGACACUGACCAGGCUCCUACGGGAGGCAGCAGUAGGGAAUAUUGGUCAAUGAAUGCAAGCCUGAACCAGCCAUCCCGCGUGAAGGACGUCUGCCCGAUGUGUUGUAAACUUCUUUUGUAUAAGUAUAAACCUACCCUCGAGAGAGUAGCUGAAGUUACUAUACGAGUGAGCACCGGCUAACUCCGUG